AGAGUUCGAUUCUGGCUCAGAACGAACGCUGGCGGCAGGCUUAACACAUGCAAGUCGAACGGAAUAUGAUGUGCUUGCACAUUAUAUCAGUGGCGCACGGGUGAGUAACGCGUAGGAAUCUGUCUAUUGGACAGGGAUAGCCUCUGGAAACGGAGGGUAAAACCUGGUAAGACCUGAGGGUGAGACGAGCGAUCGGCCGAUAGAGGAGCCUGCGUUAGAUUAGGCAGUUGGUGGGGUAACGGCCUACCAAACCGACGAUCUAUAGCUGGUCUGAGAGGAUGAUCAGCCACAUUGGGACUGAGACACGGCCCAA
rnacentral:rRNA from 1 species